UUUGGUGAAAUAAUCUUUAAGAAAAUGCUGAUUUUAUGCAUUUUCCCAUAGGGUCAAUGUAAAACUUGCCCCAUGUUUCCAUGACAACAGCGGCCAUUUUGGACUAUCCAAAUGUUGUCUUGACAUCUUAGCAUACUGUGUAACAUUUUCAUAAAGUUUCAUCCAAUUGGGUCUUAUAACGAAAGAGUUAGAAUUUUUGAUAUUUUAACUGUUUCCAUGGUAACGGCAGCCAUUUUGAAAAUUCCAAAGUCAAACUGCAAAUCAGCACAUGCCAGUUAACAUUUCUGUGGAGUUUCUUCCAAUUUGGAACACUUUGAUUUUUUUCGCAGUUUUGCUGUUUCCAUGGAAACGGCGGCCAUUUUUUACCAUUCCAUAGCAAGGUGCACAACUUUACAUGGGGGUCCUCAUUAUAGUAGAGUUCCAUCAACAUUGGUUAAUUGGAUUCCAAGAACUCGAGGGAAAAAAUGUGUGGAAGAAAAAUAAGAAAAAAAAGAAACGAAGAAUAACAGUAUGUCACCCCAACUCCGUUGAGGGUGCCAUAAAAAGAAA